UUGCCCCGUUUAUAUAUAUGUAUGUAUAUUGCAAAGACGAUUCGCCUCUUCCCAUUCACUGUGCACUAGCAGUUGUUCGAUCCUACCAAUGACAGUCAGACCGAAAGUACAUUUUAUUCCUCCUUCAGUUCUCAGAUAGAGGAUGUGAGAAAUCCAAUGUCACUUCCUGAAUUUCAAACUGAGCUAUAAUAAUUUAACUGUAAAAUGACGCCGAACUUACAGCUGUUCCUUGCACUGUCCCCACCCUUCCGGGUUCCUGAGCCAGACACCUUUUCUUCCCCCAGAGGUAGUCCAUCUACAGGGAGGUGAAAUCGAUCUUCGACUGAAAAGAUACUUUGCAAACUGAAAGGGAGAAAGUCUGGCGAGUUUUGUACUGGCAUUGUUCCAUUCUUCAGUGUUAGCAUCCUUCAGAUCGAUGAAUGUGAACCAAGUAUUACCUCAAAUGGGUCCUCGAGAAGAAAUGAAACCUGCAAAUGAGGUACAAAGAGCCUUUAUGAAGGGGAAUCAUUUUUCCAUACUUCACUCUGUCCAGACCUCUCAUGAUUUUAAGUCAUUCAUAAGUCACAGGAUGCAAGGAUAAUGCUGUGCACACUCUCUGUACUGUAGUUUAAGGCUUGUCAUCAGACCAAUCCAAGCACCGGAACAUCAUCUUCAGCAAGUCUAUCAUCUGCUUCAUGAUUGCCUUUUUGAAAUUAUAUGCUUCUUUGCAUCUGAGCUGAACCUCAAUCAGAGGGUUGUGUAAUGGAGUCAACGGCCAUGGUUGCAGAUGGUACCGCUCGUCUUCCAGUAAGCAUUAAUUGUAAGCCUUGCAUCCUGUGCUCUGCACAAGCGAAACAGGCAAAAAGGGGAAUGUGAUAAACAUUGAAAAGCUGGGUGAAGGCAGCAGUUUUCCAAGGAGCGAGAUAAGAACAUUUAGAAGAGGAACAUUACCUUCAGCAUGAUAGAACUUUGCAGCAUCAAGCACAACAAGCCAGAUAGGACUUAAUGGACACUUAGAUCACUUGGUAAAGUGAUCACUCGUCAACAGUAAUUUUGUUGUUGCUGAAACAAGCAGCCCCUGUUUUACCAAGAAGAGAAUGCAGUGAAUUUUAGUUUCUUUUUCUUGCUUUUUCUG